rnacentral:rRNA from 1 species
GACGAACGCUGGCGGCGUGCUUAACACAUGCAAGUCGAACGGAAAGGCCCUGCUUUUGUGGGGUGCUCGAGUGGCGAACGGGUGAGUAACACGUGAGUAACCUGCCCUUGACUUUGGGAUAACUUCAGGAAACUGGGGCUAAUACCGGAUAGGAGCUCCUGCUGCAUGGUGGGGGUUGGAAAGUUUCGGCGGUUGGGGAUGGACUCGCGGCUUAUCAGCUUGUUGGUGGGGUAGUGGCUUACCAAGGCUUUGACGGGUAGCCGGCCUGAGAGGGUGACCGGCCACAUUGGGACGGAGACCGGGCCCAGACUCCUACGGGAGGCAGCAGGGGGGAAUAUUGCACAAUGGGGGGAAGCGGGAGGCAGCACCGCCGGGGGGGGGAGGACGGCCUUCGGGUUGAAAACCGCUUUCGCCUGUGACGAAGGGGGAGUGACGGUAGGGGGUAAAAAAGCACCGGCAAACUAGGUG